GAUGAACGCUGGCGGCGUGCCUAAUACAUGCAAGUCGAGCGAACAGACGAGGAGCUUGCUCCUCUGACGUUAGCGGCGGACGGGUGAGUAACACGUGGAUAACCUACCUAUAAGACUGGGAUAACUUCGGGAAACCGGAGCUAAUACCGGAUAAUAUAUUGAACCGCAUGGUUCAAUAGUGAAAGACGGUUUUGCUGUCACUUAUAGAUGGAUCCGCGCCGCAUUAGCUAGUUGGUAAGGUAACGGCUUACCAAGGCAACGAUGCGUAGCCGACCUGAGAGGGUGAUCGGCCACACUGGAACUGAGACACGGUCCAGACUCCCACGGGAGGCAGCAGUAGGGAAUCUUCCGCAAAGGGCGAAAGCCUGACGGAGCAACGCCGCGUGAGUGAUGAAGGUCUUCGGAUCGUAAAACUCUGUUAUUAGGGAAGAACAAAUGUGUAAGUAACUAUGCACGUCUUGACGGUACCUAAUCAGAAAGCCACGGCUAACUACGUG
rnacentral:rRNA from 1 species